GAUGAAGAACGCAGCGAAAUGCGAUACGUAAUGUGAAUUGCAGAAUUCAGUGAAUCAUCGAGUCUUUGAACGCACAUUGCGCCCCCUGGUAUUCCGGGGGGCAUGCCUGUCCGAGCGUCAUUGCUGCCCUCAAGCACGGCUUGUGUGUUGGGCCUCCGUCCUCCUCCCGGGGGACGGGCCCGAAAGGCAGCGGCGGCACCGCGUCCGGUCCUCGAGCGUAUGGGGCUUCGUCACCCGCUCUUGUAGGCCCGGCCGGCGCUUGCCGACACAUCAAUCUUUUUUCCAGGUUGACCUCGGAUCAGGUAGGGAUACCCGCUGAACUUAAGCAUAUCAAUAAGCGGAAGA
rnacentral:misc_RNA from 1 species